AUUGAACGCUGGCGGAAUGCUUUACACAUGCAAGUCGAACGGCAGCACGGGGGCAACCCUGGUGGCGAGUGGCGAACGGGUGAGUAAUACAUCGGAACGUGCCCGGCCGUGGGGGAUAACGUAGCGACAGUUACGCUAAUACCGCAUACGAUCUGAGGAUGAAAGCGGGGGACCUUCGGGCCUCGCGCGAUCGGAGCGGCCGAUGUCAGAUUAGGUAGUUGGUGGGGUAAAGGCCUACCAAGCCGACGAUCUGUAGCUGGUCUGAGAGGACGACCAGCCACACUGGGACUGAGACACGGCCCAGACUCCUACGGGAGGCAGCAGUGGGGAAUUUUGGACAAUGGGCGCAAGCCUGAUCCAGCCAUUCCGCGUGCAGGACGAAGGCCUUCGGGUUGCAAACUGCUUUUGUAUGGAACGAAAAGGCUCUGGCUAAUACCUGGGGCUCAUGACGGUACCGUAAGAAUAAGCACCGGCUAACUACGUG
rnacentral:rRNA from 1 species